rnacentral:lncRNA from 1 species
GAGGCUGCAGUGACCCACUGCACUCCAGUCUGGGUGACAGAACGAGACUCUGUCUCUAAAAAAUAAAUAAAUACUGAUAAACAAAACAUACCUCUAAUUAUACUCAGCUUUUUUGGUUGAGGAUAAACAGAUGCUUUAGAAUUUUAGCCUUCAGUAGUUUGUAAUCAUAUUAUCAUUGUGUAGUAAUUGUGAACAAAUUUCUGACUACUGAUAUUCUGCUUAAUUUCUGACUACUGAUAUUACUGCUUAAGUUAGGAUUUCUGACUGCUGAUAUUCCGCUGAAGUUAGGAUUUACUCUGUUAACUUCAUGCCAUUAUUUUAGCCCCUUUUUCUUCAUUUACUUUUGGCCUUAAGGCUGUAGAAACAAGUAGUAAUAAUUAGUCAGAUUAUGGAACUGAUGAGCUGUGGUUAUAGCCUCCAUCACCAGAAAGCCUUUCAUUAAUUUUUAACACAGUGCUAUUUACAUAGGAAAAGGUCUAUUUUAACAUAGUUGUAUUCCCUCGAAAGAAACUUUUUGCCCUAGGUAUCCAUAAAAGUGGCACAGUAGUUUUCUUUGUUUUACUUUGGAUGAAAAUGGAGAAAUAAAUGUGAAUCAAAAGUAAUCUGUGAGAAAAAUAGCAAUCUUUUUUGAAAAUGUGUUGAAACUCUGUGCCCCAAAAUGCUAGUGCCCACGUUGUUAAUUGUAUCAGUCCUCUUGGAUAUAGAUGUUUUCCUGGACACACCAGCUACACAAUAAGCCAGUAAAUGUAAGUUUGACCUGCUUGUUAUUAUUGGGAGCCCUAGGUAUGUCAAAGGCUUUUCACCAAGCCAGGGUUAUUAAUCAAAGCUGACUCCCUCGUAUUGAUCAGACCUCAAAUGGUUGGGUUCCAUGCCACCCUGUUUAUAUAUUGCUGUUUAAUUUGCAGCCACCCUGUGUGCACUCUAUCUAAGUGACAACGGUUUUGAAAUCCUGCCACCAGAUAUUGGGAAGCUCACAAAGUUGCAGAUAGUAAGUAAGUUAUCUAAAUUCUUAGAAAAUCAAUUCACUGCUGCAGCCUUGUAGGGGUAGAAUCAAGUAAAUCUGAGCAGAAGUAAGGUUUGUUUUGCAGGAAUAAACCACUACUUCUGAUAGUGUUUCUUGAUUAUCCGCCAGCACUUGUAAAUAAAUGGAAAGGACUGAGCUGUGGUAGAAGAGAGGACGUGGAGGAGGAUGAGAGUUUCUGUGGAGCACCUUUUAAUGUGAAAAUGUGUUGACAACUCCUUGUUUUCUUCUGUUUAGCUCAGCAAUAGGGAUAAAGACCUGAUCUCACUGCUUAAGGAAAUUGGGGAGCUUACCCAGCUUAAAGAGCUCCACAUUCAGAGGAACCGCCUCACUGUUCUACGCCCAGAACUAGGCAAUGAUGGGACCUCUUCUCCUGCAUUUGUUACCCAGAUAAUUUUGCCUUUGGAGAAGAGAAGAAAAUCACAUUGGUCUGCUCGGAAUGCAACAAAACAAAGUGUUAUUGACACCAAAACCUUAUUUGCACCAAUCCAAACAGCCUAUGGGACAUAUGUCUGCAAUGCUGCACACACCUGGGGCUAGCCAGCUUAGUGCCCUACGAUAUGUGCCAAUAAUCGAUAGCAUUUUUUACUACAGUAAUUAUGAGAAGCAUAGUAUUUUCUAGCAUGCUUGUGAAGAGUGGAAACAAAUAUUAAUCCCCUUCAGAGAGUAAAGGACAUUAUGAAUUGAGAAUUUCCUCCCAAUUUAUUCUCCAGAAUGAACAGAAUUAACAGUGAGUGGAUGUACGUCCAAAAUUUCUUCUGUUAUAUCUCUUAAUCCUUUUCCUGCGGACAUCGAGAAACUAAAGAAAAAUAACUUUCUUUACUGAGGCAGGCAAGAAGGAAAUCCAGUAUUCUUUGUUUGAUCAAUUAAGUCUCUGUAAGUGUCUCAUUUAUCUUCUCUUUUGUUAUUGUCACUCUGUCAACUGGUUCCCAAUUAUUUUAUCCAGAGGUUUAAAACUUUUUUAAAUGUAAACAGUAGAGAAUAGAGGUUAAGUGCUGCACUCUUCAUCACUAGGCUUGGGUUCAAACCUCACUCUCCCACUCCCUUGUUCUGUGACCUUCAGAUACUGAUAUGGUUUGAAAGGAAAGGAAAGGAAAAAACAGAUCAAAAUGUUUCAAUAAUCAUGAACGUAUAUGUAUCUGAUAAUGUACCCUUUAUUUAUGCUCAAUGAGAUUUAACAUGUUCAUCUCAGAAAGGGAUAGAUCAAGCUGCAAAAAGUUUGCAUACAUAGAAGAUCUAAAUAGCAUGACUAACAAGUUUAAAAUAUUAAUGUAGAAUCAUAAAAAUAUAAUUUUUUCAAGCACACAUAUAAUAUUUGUAAAAAUUGACCAGGUACAAAUCACAUAGUAAUUCUCAAUAAAUUUUAG